GCGGUGGAUUAUGUGGAUUAAUUCGAUGCAACGCGAAAACCUUACCUACCCUUGACAUGCUAGGAACUUGCCAGAGAUGGCUUGGUGCCCGAAAGGGAACCUAGACACAGGUGCUGCAUGGCUGUCGUCAGCUCGUGUCGUGAGAUGUUGGGUUAAGUCCCGCAACGAGCGCAACCCUUGUCAUUAAUUGCCAUCAUUCAGUUGGGCACUUUAAUGAGACUGCCGGUGACAAACCGGAGGAAGGUGGGGAUGACGUCAAGUCCUCAUGGCCCUUAUGGGUAGGGCUUCACACGUAAUACAAUGGUCGGUACAGAGGGUUGCCAACCCGCGAGGGGGAGCCAAUCCCAGAAAACCGAUCGUAGUCCGGAUUGUAGUCUGCAACUCGACUGCAUGAAGUCGGAAUCGCUAGUAAUCGCGGAUCAGCAUGUCGCGGUGAAUACGUUCCCGGGCCUU
rnacentral:rRNA from 1 species